GCCAUACUCCUUUGUUCGGGGCUCUUGUCGGAUUCCCUUGUGUGGGAUGAGACUUGGGCCCUAGCGCGCUAGAGAUAAACUCCCUUCUUGUCCUUGCAGUACCAUGGUGGACUUGCUCUCUCUCUCGGUCGGUUCGGAGAUACAGGCUCGGAGCAUAACAUCUGGGGGCUCGUCCGGGAUCUCUGUCCCACCGGGGAGGACAACUCUCCUGGUAGAAGGGAGUAACCUCAUUAGGAGAUAAGAGCUCUGAGCAGCGGUGCUAACGUUGCAGAAGCCCAGAUUAAGUCCGGGGCCCGGUAUCGUACUGGGGAGCAUCUGGCUGUAAAGUGCAGAGGCAAGUCAGCGUAAGGCCGGGGCCUGGUUUCGUGCUGGGGAGGCAGCUGGCUCUGGUUCCUGGAUUAAGUCUGCGUAAGGCCGGGGCCUAGUUUCGUGCUGGGGAAGCAGCUGGCUCUGGUUACAGGAUUAAGUCCAGCGUAAGGCCAGGGCCCAGUUUUGUUCUGGGGAGGCAGCUGGCUCUGUGAACAUCCUGCAGGUCCCACAGGUUUCAUCGGGAGAAGCCAGAAAGAAAACCAAGCCUUCAGCACCUCCCAGAAAAAGGGGCCCCGCCUAGGAAACUCAGGGAAAGGCAAAAAAAAAAAAAAAAAAUGGCCGGCGUAGCUGAAGAAGACCCAGAGGUUCCCUCCCCCACCAUUCAUGCGUUUCCGGUCUGGGCGGGGCCAGCCAGAGAGGGUGGAGAACGGACAUAUCAGUAUUGGCCCUUCUCCACUAGUGAUUUGUACAAUUAAAAAACCCAGACUCCCUCCUUCUCUGAAAAACCGCAGGGUCUUAUUGAUCUUUUAGAGUCUAUCCUGUUUACUCACAAUCCCACUUGGGAUGAUUGUCAGCAACUGUUACAGGUACUUUUUACUACAGAGAAGCGUGAACGGAUCCUGUCAGAAGCCCAGUAAAAUGUGCCAGGGGUGGAUGGGAGGCCCACAAUACAGCCUAACCUCAUUGAGGAGGGAUUCCCCUUGGUGCGACCCAACUGGGACUUCGAACGUGCUGAAGGUAAGGAGCGUCUCCAAGUGUACCAUCAGACUCUCAUGGCUGGCCUUAGAGCAGCCGCCAAAAGCCAACUAAUUGGGCCAAAAUAAAUUCAGUGAGACAAGAGCCAAAUGAGAGCCCAGCAGCCUUCCUGGAAAGGAUAAUGGAAGCUUUUAGACAGUAUACCCCUAUGGACCCACAGGCAGAUGAGUCACGAGCAGCAGUUAUGUUAGC
ensembl:lncRNA